ACUGAGACCGGCGUACGGGUGCGUAACGCGUAUACAAUCUGCCUUUCACUGGGGGAUAGCCCGAAGAAAUUUGGAUUAAUACCCCAUAGUAUAGGAGCACGGCAUCGUGAUACUAUUAAAGCUUAGGUGGUGAAAGAUGAGUAUGCGUUCUAUUAGCUAGUUGGAGAGGUAACGGCUCCCCAAGGCGAUGAUAGAUAGGGGUUCUGAGAGGGAUGUCCCCCACACUGGUACUGAGAUACGGACCAGACUCC
rnacentral:rRNA from 1 species